CAACAGCUAGAGUUGACUCCUGGCUCGAGGACGAACGCUGGCGGCGUGCCUAACACAUGCAAGUCGAGCGGAGACAUGCGACGGAGCGGAAGUUUUCGGAUGGAAGUGAAGAUGUAUGUUUUAGCGGCGGACGGGUGAGUAACGCGUGAGCAACCUGUCCUUCACAGGGGGAUAACACAGCGAAAGUUGUACUAAUACCGCAUAAGACCACGUUGGGACAUCCCAAAGGGGUCAAAGGAGCAAUCCGGUGAAGGGUGGGCUCGCGUCCGAUUAGAUAGUUGGUGAGGUAACGGCCCACCAAGUCGACGAUCGGUAGCCGACCUGAGAGGGUGAUCGGCCACAUUGGGACUGAGACACGGCCCAAACUCCUACGGGAGGCAGCAGUGGGGAAUAUUGGGCAAUGGGGGGAACCCUGACCCAGCAACGCCGCGUGAGGGAAGAAGGUUUUCGGAUCGUAAACCUCUGUCCUUGGUGAAGAGGAAGAGACGGUAGCCAAGGAGGAAGCCCCGGCUAACUACGUGCC
rnacentral:rRNA from 1 species